rnacentral:lncRNA from 1 species
CAUAGAGUCCCCCUUGAUACGGCUGUUCGGCAGACCAACUUUGUUGUAAAUAUUUAGAUAAAAAUGGGCUUUAGAGCAGCCACAUCUGAAGACCCACAAGGCUGAAUGUUACACAGGCAAUCAGAAUCUGAUUGAAGAUAAACUCAUCCUAUUUGGGUCAGAGCAUUAGAAGAAAGAAAGAACUGACACUUCUCAACCUUCUCUAGUUGAAGACUUCUCUGUGCUGUAACUACUUGAAGAGUUCAGCAGAAAAAUUUUACUGAAGAACCCCUGAUCCUCAUUUAAGUAGCUGUAGAGAAUAUUCACUAAGUGUAAUGGGACACGUCUCUCUCAUGCCCACUUCUUUUCUCUUAUCCCUGCAAGAAAAUGAAGUUUUGUUGGAGUCAGA